rnacentral:rRNA from 1 species
CCUGGCUCAGGACGAACGGCUGGCGGCGUGCUUAACACAUGCAAGUCGAGCGAUGAAGCUCUUCGGAAGUGGAUUAGCGGCGGACGGGUGAGUAACACGUGGGUAACCUGCCUCAUAGAGGGGAAUAGCCUUCCGAAAGGAAGAUUAAUACCGCAUAAGAUUGUAAUAUCGCAUGAUAUAGCAAUUAAAGGAGCAAUCCGCUAUGAGAUGGACCCGCGUCGCAUUAGCUAGUUGGUGAGGUAACGGCUCACCAAGGCGACGAUGCGUAGCCGACCUGAGAGGGUGAUCGGCCACAUUGGGACUGAGACACGGCCCAGACUCCUACGGGAGGCAGCAGUGGGGAAUAUUGCACAAUGGGGGAAACCCUGAUGCAAGCAACGCCGCGUGAGUGAUGACGGUCUUCGGAUUGUAAAGCUCUGUCUUCAGGGACGAUAAUGACGGUACCUGAGGAGGAAGCCACGGCUAACUACGUGCCAGCCGCGGC